rnacentral:rRNA from 1 species
GAUGAACGCUGGCGGCGUACCUAACACAUGCAAGUCGAACGAAGCUACAUUUUACGAUCCCUUCGGGGUGACGAAUUGUAGACUGAGUGGCGGACGGGUGAGUAACGCGUGGGCAACCUGCCCUAUACCGGGGGAUAGCAGCUGGAAACGGCUGAUACUACCGCAUAAGCGCACAGAGAGACAUCUCUUAGUGUGAAAAACUCCGGUGGUAUAGGAUGGACCCGCGUCUGAUUAGCCAGUUGGUGAGGUAAAGGCCCACCAAAGCGAAGAUCAGUAGCCGACCUGAGAGGGUGACCGGCCACAUUGGGACUGAGACACGGCCCAAACUCCUACGGGAGGCAGCAGUGGGGAAUAUUGCACAAUGGGCGAAAGCCUGAUGCAGCGACGCCGCGUGAGUGAUGAAGUAUUUCGGUAUGUAAAGCUCUAUCAGCAGGGAAGAAAAUGACGGUACCUGACUAAGAAGCUCCGGCUAAAUACGUGCCAGCCGCCGCGGUAA